rnacentral:misc_RNA from 1 species
UGGCAACAAGCUUAAAAGCCCAUAUAUUCCUCGUGCUUCUUUAACUCAAUUAUUCAGCUUCAAACAAAGAGAUAAUAAGCCUCAGCCUCUCUUCUUCUCUUUCCUUCGUAUAACACGCCUGCAUAUUCAACUUGUCGCUAAAUGCAGAGGUAGAGAGAACCAACGUCGACGCGAUUGGGUUUCGAUAAGUUAACUAGCUUUUUCCGAUCUGUUUGUUUGAGAUUUCUUUUUUUGAAGGAGAAUUAUGGCUGGCUCGCCGGAAUUUGUUGAGUUUGGUGGCCGGAAGGCAGCGAAGUCGGCGGAGAAAUCGAGUUUCUCGCAGACGUGUAGUCUGUUGAGUCAAUACAUCAAGGAGAAAGGUAGUUUUGGAGAUCUCAGUCUUGGGAUGACGUGCAGUGCUGAAGGAAAUGGAAAUGGUACAACAGAGUUGCGUCAGGCAGCAACAACAAUGAAUUUGUUUCCAAUGAGUGAGAAACAAGUUGAUGUUUCCAGCAGAAACAUGGCUACUCCUCCUCGGACUAAUUUUAGAUCCAUGGAUUUGUUCCCUCAACAAGCUGGCUUUUCUCCUUCUGCUCCCAAGGAAGAUGUGCAAAAGAGUCUUGACUCAAGUGUUAACAAGGCUGCAACCCCAGAGCCUCAAACUGCACCAAUGACUAUUUUCUAUGCUGGACAAGUAAUCGUGUUCAAUGAUUUUCCAGCUGAUAAGGUUAAGGAGGUCAUGCUCUUAGCUAGCAAGGGAAGCUCCCAGAGCCUGACGGGGUUCCCUUCUGUUCCUGUCAAGAGUCACCCUGUCUUUGACCCUAAUGUUGCUAAAGCCCCUGUUGAAUCCACCAGUUCAAUUCCUCCCAACUCGAAUCCUGUUCCUAGUUUUGGCAAUAAUUUGAAUCAGGAGCGCGUGCAAUCUCCCUCUCAAACCAUUGCUAGUGAUCUACCAAUUGCAAGGAGAGCUUCCCUUCACCGGUUCUUGGAGAAGAGGAAAGAUAGGAUCACUGCAAGUGCAAGAGCUCCAUACCAAACAAGUCGUGGCUUGUCGGCCUCUCCAUCGAAGCCAGCUGAAAGCAAGCCGUGGCUCGGCCUGGCUGGUCAAUCUUUGCAGUAGAUCCGAUUGCUAAUUAUGUAGAUUUUUAGAUUUUGCAAUUUAGGCCUCCUUCUAUCUGGUAUUUUUGUAGCGGGUUGAAUCCUGCUGUUUCCUUAUGGUUGUUUUAAGCCAAGGCUUUUCUCAGGCCACCGUAGACCUAACCUUUUUAUCAAUCUUACUAUUUCAUUCAUGUAAUUAUUUUUAUUGAAGAAGAAAAAGGGUUCAACAGCUAGAAGAUGAUUUGACUGUACUAAUCAUCUCUGUUUUGGGUACAUGAACUUGAACCGGUCAUCUGUAAUUGUUUUACAGGAAUUUCGCAUGAAACACGAAUUCACUUCCACA